rnacentral:rRNA from 1 species
UACAGAGGUCUCAAGCGUUGUUCGGAUUCAUUGGGCGUAAAGGGUGCGUAGGUGGCGCCGUAAGUCAGGUGUGAAAUCUCGGAGCUCAACUCCGAAACUGCACUUGAUACUGCGGUGCUCGAGUACUGGAGAGGAGAUUGGAAUUUACGGUGUAGCAGUGAAAUGCGUAGAUAUCGGGAGGAACACCAGUGGCGAAGGCGGUUGCCUGGGGCUUUGCUGACGCUGAUGCGCGAAAGCGUGGGGAGCGAGUCCGG